ACUGAGGCUCAGUUUGCCUAAGGAAACGCAGCUGCUAAAUCAUAAAGCUGAGUUUGAAAUCCAGGUUUCUCGGGCUCCAAAGUCCUUGUGUUUCUACCACACAAUAGACUGCUGCCCUUGCCUCAAACUUACCCCUUCCAGGAAGUGUGUGUUUCUUCACCUCCCACUAGACUGUGUGUUCCUCCAGGGCACCCCAAGUCUCACAGUGUAUCCCUGUGCCUGGCACAUAGCAGAUGCUAAAUAAAUGCUUAAAUGAAUCAGCAGUUUGUGGAGAAGCUUAUCCCUUUAUCUUACUGGUUGAUGGAGCAAUGCUUCUAUAAAAUCCUAGUACACGUGGUACCCACCCCCAAGUCAGCCCCCAUCCCCAGCAGAGAAUCAAGUCAGUUUCUCAGCUGGCAGAUCCAUUUGCUAACCCACUGCUUCUCCAAGUUUUAUGUCCUAUGAACCUCCUGGAAAUUUCCUUCAAAUACAGAUUCUGAUUCAAAAGGACUGAGACUCUCAGAGGUGGGGCAUUUCCUGCAAGCUUCUGGUGAUGCAGCUGGUUUGAAGAUCCCAUUUUGGAGUCUAAAUGCAUCAGCCAACAGCAGUCAAUGCACUUUGGUUACCUUUGGCUGAUGAUGAACAAUAAAACCUGUCUCCCGCUUUGUUCUCUUUCCAAAGGAUGACCAGAUUUCAAAUGCUUCUGACUGUCCAUGAUUAAGCAAAAUAUUUAAGUUAUGCUUUGAGCUAUAAACAUUUGGCAGCUUGAACAUUUGUUUGUGCCUGUAGCUUUGGUUUAAUCACACCCUAUCAAUAAAUCACAAAUAAAUGAGAGAGAAGAAACACUCGCUGGAAGAUUCCAUUCCAGUGACAAGUGGAUCAUGGGAGUGGGUGAGGGUGGGAGAAAGAAGCCGAUGAACCCCCAGUUCAUUUUUAUGGGAAGGGCUCCACCCUUCCACACCUGCCUACCCUGUGACCACUUUCCCGGCUGGUCUCCUCUGUUCCUGGUAAACAGUAAAGCCAUGGCUUAUUCAUCUGGAGCCCUUUGAACCCCACACAAUCGCUUUACCAGCAUGCCAAGUCUUUAGAGGUCAAGCAUCUCCGGUCCAAGACGUUUGGAAGGAAAACACCCUCUUUUC